UACGUAGGGGGCUAGCGUUGUCCGGAAUCAUUGGGCGUAAAGAGCGUGUAGGCGGCCCGGUAAGUCCGCUGUGAAAGUCGGGGGCUCAACCCUCGAAUGCCGGUGGAUACUGUCGGGCUAGAGUGCGGAAGAGGCGAGUGGAAUUCCUGGUGUAGCGGUGAAAUGCGUAGAUAUCGGGAGGAACAUCAGUGGCGAAGGCGGCUGCCUGGCCCAAUACUGACACUCAGGUGCGACAGCGUGGGGAGCAAACAGG
rnacentral:rRNA from 1 species